rnacentral:rRNA from 1 species
AGAGUUUGAUCAUGGCUCAGAAUCAACGCUGGCGGCGCGCUUAACACAUGCAAGUCGCACGAGAAAGUGGAGCAAUCCAUGAGUAAAGUGGCGUACGGGUGAGUAACACGUGGAUCAUUUACCUCUUGGCGGGGAAUAACCCUGGGAAACCGGGGCUAAUACCGCAUAAGCCUGAAAAGGGAAAGCAGCAAUGCACCGAGAGAGAAGUCCGCGGCCGAUUAGCUAGUUGGUAGGGUAAUGGCCUACCAAGGCAAUGAUCGGUAGCCGGCCUGAGAGGGCACACGGCCACACUGGCACUGAAACACGGGCCAGACUCCUACGGGAGGCAGCAGUGGGGAAUCUUGCACAAUGGAGGAAACUCUGAUGCAGCGACGCCGCGUGAGCGAUGAAGCCCUUCGGGGUGUAAAGCUCUUUCGACAGGAACGAUAAUGACGGUACCUGGAGAAGAAGCUGCGGCUAACUACGUGCCAGCAGCCGCGGUAAUACGUAGGCAGCAAGCGUUGUUCGGAAUUACUGGGCGUAAAGAGUGUGUAGGCGGUUCUCUAUGUUCGGUGUGAAAUCUCCCGGCUUAACUGGGAGGGUGCGCCGAAAACUGGAGGGCUUGAGUAUGGGAGAGGAAAGCGGAAUUCCUGGUGUAGCGGUGAAAUGCGUAGAUAUCAGGAGGAACACCUGAGGUGUAGACGGCUUUCUGGACCAUCACUGACGCUGAGACACGAAAGCGUGGGUAGCAAACAGGAUUAGAUACCCUGGUAGUCC